rnacentral:rRNA from 1 species
GAUGAACGCUGACAGAAUGCUUAACACAUGCAAGUCAACUUGAACUUCGGUUUGGGUGGCGGACGGGUGAGUAACGCGUAAAGAACUUGCCUCACAGCUAGGGACAGCAUUUGGAAACGAAUGCUAAUACCUGAUAUUAUGAUUAUAUGGCAUCGUAUAAUUAUGAAAGCUAUAUGCGCUGUGAGAGAGCUUUGCGUCCCAUUAGCUAGUUGGAGAGGUAACAGCUCACCAAGGCGAUGAUGGGUAGCCGGCCUGAGAGGGUGAUCGGCCACAAGGGGACUGAGACACGGCCCUUACUCCUACGGGAGGCAGCAGUGGGGAAUAUUGGACAAUGGACCGAGAGUCUGAUCCAGCAAUUCUGUGUGCACGAUGAAGUUUUUCGGAAUGUAAAGUGCUUUCAGUUGGGAAGAAAAAAAUGACGGUACCAACAGAAGCAGUGACGGCUAAAUACGUG